rnacentral:rRNA from 1 species
AAUACGUUCCCGGGCCUUGUACACACCGCCCGUCACACCACGAAAGCUUCCUGAACCAGAAGACGGUAACCCAACCGCAAGGGGGAUCCGUCCAAGGUUCGGGCGGUGAUGGGGUG